rnacentral:lncRNA from 1 species
UAUGUAAAAAGCUUAAAAGUGUUUCUGACAUCUAUUAAGACCAUAAGUGUUAGAUACUAUUAUUAUCAUCACUAUUAUUUGAAUACCAUUAUGAAGAACACCCAGUAGUACAAGAGGAGAGAGAAUCUAAGUAAGGAAACAGCUGAGCCAUCCUUGACCCUGCCAUCUGGAUAUGCUAGAAUGAAAGCCCAAUAGGAGUCAAGCUUCUAUAAGGACUUUAAAAAUCUGCAUUAGAAAUUACUUGGUGUUUCCUGUGUCUGAGUUUCCUGUUUUCCCAGCUGCACUUGGAACUGAGUUAAUCAAAGCCGCCCGAGCUUGCUCUAUUCAUCCAUUCACUUACUCAUCCCUUCAACCAAGAUUUAUUGAACACCUACUGAGUAUUAGACACUGGAAAUUAAAAGUUAAAAGUUGGAGGCAUAAACUCUCCAGAUGACUCCGAUGUUCUCCCAGGUUUAGGUGCUGUGUGGUAGACUUCACUGAGCUCUAAGAGGGAAGUUAGAGCAGAAGAAGAGGUUGUUCACUGCUGGAGAAAUGAAGAUGCUGGGGGAGGAGACUGGGAAAGUUCUAGUGUCACUGGACCUCCAGAAGUGCUCUCCAACUCCCCUCUCCUGACAGAGGCAAGAACCCACAAACCGGCACAGAUCUGGAAGGAGGAGAGGGUCAUUGCAGGUGGGUCAGAAGGAGGCAAACCCUGGGGGAAAGGGACUGGUAUUCCCUGAGAGCUCCAAUUUUGUUUUGUUUUGUUUUGAGACAGUCUCGCUCUGUCACCAGGCUGGAAUACAGUAGCGCAAUCUCGGUUCACUGCAACCUCCGCCUCCUGGGUUCAAGCAAUUCUCCUGCCUCAGCCUCCCGUGUAGCUUGGACUACAUCCAAUGUAUUAAAUCAUCUUUGGUAUUACCCAAAGUACCUGCCACCCACUCCACCCACCAUCCUCCAGGCCACAAAACUCUCCCUAAGUCCCUUAAAUAAAUCGAAAUGAAGUCACAGCAGCCUCAGUCCAGUUCAUCAAUUGCUGCCAGCAGAGAACAACUCUUCUAACCUCCCACUGCAGGCAGCCCAGCCCACCCGACCUCACAGCCCCAGGACUUACGAUCCCAGCACUUCCAUAAAAAUGAAGGUUUUCCGGAUGUUGGUGGUCUGUUUCUUCCAGGAACUGCAGUCAUCUUCUUCCUUUCGACCCAUUGCCUCCAGAGUUGAAGCUUCUGAGGAUGCUUUAUUGCAGGGAGUGGGAGAAGGAGGAGAAAAAAGGUCUGGUCAGCUGCUUUCUCAAACAAGAUUAAAAACAGGCUGCAAUACUGACAUCUUUCUGUAAUUAUCAGAAGGAAGGAUUAGGAGCAAACCUGGAUAACUGGAAAAAGUGAAACUAUCUCCACACUUGCUUUCAAAAAUUACAAGGACAAAUUCAUGGAAUGCCUACUACAUGUGCACUAUGCUUGCUGCAUGCUCACAUCAGGGCAAUAAACAACAGGGCUGUGGAUGCUGCUUUUCCAGCCAAUGAAGAGCCGCCUUCCAGCUCUGGGACCAAGAGCCAGGCGUCCAUCACUCCCUCUUCUGGAGCUUCCAUGGAAUGACGGCCUGUUCUCCAGGAGGCUGCACCACCUCAUUAGCAGAUCUGUACUCACUGUUCCUUCUUUCCCUUCUCUCUUAAAUAGCUUUAAAAACAUAGUAUUCUUAGCCGAAGCUAGGCUAUGAGAAAACAUCUUUCCCGCCCACUCCUCCUCCCAUACACUGAAUCCUAACCAUUUAGUUCCAUCUUCAGUGCAAUGUGGAAAACUCAAAGGCCCAGAUCUGAAACCCCCAUAGCUUUGGCUUUCCCUUCCCACCCCUCUGUAACCAGAGUGAUCGCCUCAAGACUCCCAUGCCCUGUGUGGUGGAGGUCUGAACAGUGGGCUUUGAAAGGGGUGCCCAUGUUCCUUCCAUGGCUGCAUCCUGCUUCUUUCUGCUAAAGUCCUCCCCCUCCUCUCUUGACUUCUGUAAUCUAGGCCUUUUCAGAGGAAAAGAAAACAAAUUCUAAGGAGCUUGAAGCUCCAAUAUUGCUCUCAUUUGUUUCCAAAGUACUCCCCGCCUCUCACUCUAUUUCUGGCAACAAUUUCCAUUGGGUUUCAAAGCUCAGGAGCAGCCGCCACAGAUUUCUCUGAGAUUUAGGGCUGAUUUUUCACAUCGAUAGCUCAGGAGACUUGGAGGAUGUCGGCUUUGUGGCUGGUUCAGGCGCCUGGCACCUCAGCACAGCAAGAUUCUCAAGAAUAUUCUGCAAAAAUGGCUCCUAGCAAAGAAAAUUACCUUAUUCAUGGAACUAUCUUUGAGUCGUGGAGGUGAUAUGCAGGUCUCCACUGGGGCACUUUUCUAAGGAGUUUUCAAGGUUAACGCUGACUGUGUGUCACACACCGCCUUCAAGCCCAAUCCCAUGCAAGAGGUGCCUCUUUUGUACAGGAAGAGUUGAUGGAGGACAGGAUGAAUCUCAUCACCCUUGGCUUCUGGUUUCUGGCUAUGACCUAGUCACUUCCUAUGGGAACCUGCUUCUGAUCCUCAGCAGAGACUGGAGGACCUUUCACCUCUGCAUCCUUCAUUAUCCACAUGCAUUUCUGUAUCCAGAGCUGGAGGCAUUUGCGAUGACUCUCCAAGGUCACCAGGAUGUGGCCUGGAAAGGCCAGCAGGAGUGGAGUCAAAGGAAGUGGGUAGUCAUAAGUAUCCCUUGCCUCAUCCAAACUUUUAUCAAAGCUACUUACAAUGUAUCUGAUUGAGCGAUUCCAUUUUAACCUUGUUUUUCUGUUUCUUCCCAACGCUCUAGGGAAUACACAAGUAACAAAGGGAGAAAUUACAACAGUGAGAAUUUCACUAAGGAAUCUAGCCCAUGUCAUCAUGUUUACAGACAGCCCUGGAUUCAACUUGGGACUGGGGCUUAGGGAACCUGGCACCUUUAUUAGCUGGGUAACCUGGGAUGAGUCUAACCUUCAUGAUUUGUCUUCUCAUCUGUCAAAUUGGGCUAAAGAUCUCAGUCUACCCCAGGAGUCUACUGUCAGGGUCAAAUAAAACGAAAGAAUGUGUAUAAAAACAUCAAAAGUAAUGUCACCUUUGUCCCCUACCCCUAGAAUCUCGAGUCUACCUACCUCCAGGUGCUGCUCCUCCCUGCCCCGCUGGGACACGGUGAUUUCCCAGCAGGAUUGCUCUGUGGGAGAUGGGAUGACCAGGCUCCCUCACUCCCAAGAAUGAGCUGCACUGCCCUCUAGUGACAGUGCCCUGUCUAGCAACAGGCCCAGAGGUGCCUGUGUCCUCCCCGCUGGCUG